rnacentral:ncRNA from 2 species
AAUCUCAAAAAGGGGUGCCUUAAUAUAACGGGCUGAGAUCAUACCCAUUGAACCUGAUGCGGCUAAUACCGACGAAGGGAUUUGAGGAAUCCAUCUG